rnacentral:rRNA from 1 species
GAUGAACGCUGACAGAAUGCUUAACACAUGCAAGUCUACUUGAACUUCGGUUUGUGUGGCGGACGGGUGAGUAACGCGUAAAGAACUUGCCUCACAGUUAGGGACAACAUUUGGAAACGAAUGCUAAUACCUGUUAUUAUGAUUUUAGGGCAUCCUAGAAUUAUGAAAGCUAUCUGCACUGUGAUAGAGCUUUUCGUCCCAUUAGCUAGUUGGAGAGGUAACGGCUCACCAAGGCGAUGAUGGGUAGCCUGCCUGAGAGGGUGAUCGGCCACAAGGGGACAGAGACACGGCCCUUACGCAAACGGGAGGAAGGAGUGGGGAAUAUAGGACAAAGGACCAAGAGUGUGAUGAAGAAAUUCUGAGUGCAAGAUGAAGUUUGUCGGAAUGAAAAGAGCUUUCAGAUGGGAAGAAAAAAAUGACGGUACCAACAGAAGAAGUGACGGCUAAAUACGUG